GACUAACAGGAGCAGCCUCUGCCGAGCAUGGAGAGCUGCCGCCGCGGCCGGCGGGCGACGCGGGCGACGCUGGCGCCCCAGAGGUAGUUUGGCGACCGCGGAGCAGGAAAAAGUGCUGGAGGGCGGCCGUCGACUCCCCGCCCUCACCCCGCCAGGCCCGGCCGGCCGCCCAGCCGUGGAUUUCGCUGCGAUACCCCCGGCCGCUCUUUGCAAAGCGGCUUGAAACUUCUCCCAAAGUCGACAUGGAUACAGCGGCGGCGGCGCUGCCUGUUUUUGUAGCGCUCUUGCUCCUCUCCCCUUGGCCUCUCCUAGGGUCGGCCCAAGGCCAGUUCUCCGCAGUUUUGUCAUCCUUCCUGUCGGUUGCUUCUUUCGUUCUCUCCUCUGGGGGCCCUGAAGUUUCACCAAGUGGACGCUGGGGAGCAGGCUCCCGGGCAAUCGUUUGCCUCCCGCCGGUCCUGACAACUUUUCUGGCCAGCCUACCCAGCUCAGCUUGGCUGGCGAGCGCUGCCUUGGUUCGCGGUGCAGAUGGAGACGCAGAGGUGGCCGAGGAGUGCUGGAGAAGACGGGGGAAGCGACAGCCCCUCUCCUGGCUGUGGCCACAGGACGCGGAGAACGAAAGAACUUUGCACUUGUCAGUUUCUCUCGUUGUUGUGGCUACCCGGUUUCCUGGAAAUAAACUCAGAUUGCUGUUUCCCGGAGUAAUGUUUAUUUCCCUUCCGUCUCCUUUCUCUCCUUUAGAACUCUAUAAAAGGAAUUAGACAACAGAUUCAGGUGGCAGUCUGUGGUGUGCACUCAGGCAGAUUAUGCAAUGCACCGAGCAGAGGAAAAGUUAUGUAUACUAGUAAUGUAUGCAGAGGAUAACAGCUCAGUGCAAUGAAUGAUCUGAUAGCUUAAUUUUCAUUCUUUCUGGAGUAAGCAUUACUGCAACCAUCUUUGACAUGUGAUGCCAGUUAGUAUUGGAAGCCUGCUUGAUGUGAGACAUAUAAUGUAGGCAGGUUGGAGUGGUUAUUGAUUUCUGCACAGUGUUUGUCACUGCACAGAGAGCCUUCGCUUGAAAAGACAUGUAGUUUGUUAAUUGAAAGUUGGAAUUCUACCAGUUGCAUGAUAAAACUUACAUGUAUUUAAGAGUCGCAACUAUUAAUGUCUCAACAGUUAAUGGUUAUAUUUUCAGCAGUAAAGAAACUUUUCUUUUUCUCUUUUCAAAUGUUAUUUACCCUCUAGUUAACAAGUAAAUAUUAAAUUUCUUCUGGCAGAAUGUGGAGGUGAGCUUUUCUGAUCCUUAGAGUUCAUCUAUCUCUAAUGAACAGUUGUGUUCUUAGCCAGUUCUAAGUGAUUUAACUAAAUAUGCCUGGCUUUUCUUUGGUGACAGAGCAAAACAUUUGACUUUAUUUUAUAUUUAAGUAAAAGGAUGUGCAGUCCUAAUAGACGCAGUUCCGCCAGGAUUGUAUCUCAGAAUUUUGCUAUUCAGGAUUUACCUGUCUAUCCAUCUGUUUAUCUAACUAUCUAUGCCCAGAAAUGAAUGCCCUUUAUUCCCACAGUUCAAAUUGUGGAUCUGCCUUUCUCCAUAAAUUAAAAGUUUGUUUCAUAAAAAUUCCCAUUUUCUGCCAAUUUUAAGUCAUUUGUUAUUCUACUGUCAUCGGAUUAUGUGGCAGAUUUGUUGCAAAGACAUGAAGUCAGAUGGAGGUGUAUUCUUUUUUGCUUUGUUUUCCUUACAUUCUACUUUAAAUGAUUAAUUUUUAUUUCUUUUGAGAAAUUUAAGUAAAACUGCUUCAGAAAUAUAAAAUACAUGUUCAGAGUUUUAAAAUACUCUGUUAAAUAUGUUUUAAAAAUCACACUCAUCAGGCCAAUUUACCACUUUUAGAGUGAAAGAUGGCAGAUUGUUGGAUCUUUGCUAUAUCAUGUGCCCACUCACCCACUCUGCUUUGUUUAAACCGCAGUUUGAAGAACAGUUUCAUCAUUUGUGACUUUUUUUCUUAGCUUUGGAAGUUAAAGUAUAAAAAUGCUGCACUGUGAGCCUCAUUAGAACUUAAACUUUCAGAACUUCCUCUAAAUCUCAACUUAGGAGUUCCUGUUGUGGCGCAGCAGAAAUGAAUCUGACUAGGAUCCGUGAGGAGGGGAUUCCAUCCCUGCCCUUGCUCAGUGGGUCGGGGAUCCUGCGUUGCCAUGAGCUGAACUGUGGUGUAGGUCGCUGAGGUGGCUUGGAUCCUGGAUCCUGCGUUUCUGUGGCUGUGAUGCAGGCCAGCAGCUACGGCUCCUAUUUGACCCCCAGCCUGGGAACUUACAUAAGCCGCAGGUGCGUCCCUAAAAAGAUUAAAAAAAAAAAAUCUCAAUUUAUAUUUUUUCAGUUAAAUUGCUCACUUAAAACAAUGCCUGUUGUCAGAUCUGUGUUAUGUCUGGGGAAAUCGAGGCCAAAAAACACAAAGAUGUACUGUAGUUUAUUCACGGGGCAGUGUCAUUGUCAUCUCGUGAUAUCAUAGUAUGAGAAUGUUUUUCUGUGUUCGGACUCUGAUGGCUGACAAAAGCAGUCACAGAUGAGAUAAUUUAGAGACUCAGCUUUGUCAUCUGUAAAAUGGGGAUGAUAAUACCCAUUCUGACAUUUCCACAUGGUUUUUAUGAGGAUGGUAUGGAAUAUUUAUGUGAGCUAGCACUGUAAGUUAUCAAGCCUCAUAUGGCAGCUAUCUGGGGUGUAAUCAUCAUACAUUAAGAUAGCUAAGUGCCUUGACUUCAGUCUUUUCUUGCUCCCACACUCCUGUUUAGCACAGGCUCUUUAAGGAAUGUGUGUGUGUGUGAGACUUAGCCAGUCAUUCAUUUGAAUUGUUGUUAAACAUAAACAUCCUAGAUUGGCCAGACCAUAAUUUUAUCAGCACAGUGAGAGAUAUUAUUCUUUAAUUUGUUAAAAAAAAAUUACCUCCUGUAAAUCCUUACUUGAGCUGAACCUGCGGAAGUCAUUGUUCACAUUCAUAGUAUUCCAACUAUAGAUGAAAUUUAUUUUUAGUUAAUUUCUUUAGCUGUCCGUUCAACUAUGGGCUGUUCAGCUUUUUUUAUCUCAGUGGGAGAAAAAUAUGCAGCUUUUUAGAUGCAGUCUUAUCAGUGACCUAGAGAGGGACUAUUGUCUCUCUAGUAUGAUGUGAGCCUGGAAAUGCAACUCCAGAUCCUGCCUUGGAUAUAGUUCCUGGCAUGUCACACUGUUCAUUCACUUGAUCCCUCAGAACUUUAAAGCUCAUCUAAGUGGUGCCACUUUCCCAGUGUCUCCUUUUUUGAUGUCUCUGUAUGUGAAUUAAAUUUCUCUUAUACUUAUUAUCUACUGGGAAGAUAUAUCAGAGACAGCUUUUUACGGUCUGCCUCUUGGUUUCCUAGUUUUGAUUGGCCAGAAUCACUGAGUUCCUCAAUUCAUUAAAACUCCAAGUUCGAAACUAGAAUUAAUAAGUGGUCUCCAUAUAUCUGACUGUUGAUUUUCCUAGAUUGCAAGAUGUCGUUUUGUGUCUGGCCAACCCAGACGGGAAGAAGCAGGUCUGGCUGCUAUUUGAGCUUUGGCAUGUGUGCUGCUGACAGCUCUUCUCUUUGUAUUCAUAAAUGUGAAUUUGAAAAAAAAAAAUCAACCUCUCUGCCACUCUGCCCCUCUCCCACACUCUCACCCACUCCCCUCUGGGAACAACAAAGCUCAACAUGCACAUACACAAAAUCACAACCUUUUUCUUUCUACCAGAUAUCUUUUGGUGCUGAUCAUGUUCUUAAAAACUGGAAAUACGACUCAAGCAUUACUCACAGCAAGCGCCAGUCCACCCACCUAACCUCAUAUUUCAGACAAUGAUGGUUGACUUCUUGUUUUUAUGUCCUGUAACAAACAUUUAAUUCAUGUGAUAGGGUCCUAGAUAGAGAAGCUAGGUUGUUGCCAAGUAAUGCUUUUGAAGUGCUGUGUUCUAGGUCUUCUCAAGGUGGGAUUAAAGACAGUAUAAGUCAUGCUAAAUAUGGACCUGCUUUUCUGAGGCAUGGAAAAUGCUGUCCUCGCCUGCCUUGUGUUCUUCCUUUUUCCCCUCCUUGCUCUUCGUGGAGGGCAGGAAGAGGAAUGCUGGAAGAUUGAGAGCAGGAAACAUCAAGGGAGUUUACAGAUUGUUCCAAAAGACAAACAAAGAACCCUGGGAUUGUGUGUGUGUGUGUGUGUGUUUGAUUUUUAAUUUUCU
rnacentral:lncRNA from 1 species